rnacentral:rRNA from 1 species
UACGGAGGGUGCAAACGUUGCUCGGAAUCAUUGGGCGUAAAGCGCACGUAGGCGGCUCGUUAAGUCGGAUGUGAAAGCCCUGGGCUCAACCCAGGAAUUGCAUACGAAACUGGCGAGCUUGAGUAUGGAAGAGGGUCGCGGAAUUCCCGGUGUAGAGGUGAAAUUCGUAGAUAUCGGGAGGAACACCAGUGGCGAAGGCGGCGACCUGGGCCAAUACUGACGCUGAGGUGCGAAAGCGUGGGGAGCAAACAGG